rnacentral:rRNA from 1 species
UUCUUCAGUUAAAUAUCCAGAAGUGGAAAGCUAAGCAGGGUCUGGCCUGGUUAAUACUUGGAUGGGAGCCCACCUAGGAAGAUCAGGUGCUGUAGGCA